rnacentral:rRNA from 1 species
UGGGGAAUAUUGCACAAUGGGCGCAAGCCUGAUGCAGCCAUGCCGCGUGUAUGAAGGAGGCCUUCGGGUUGUAAAGUACUUUCAGCGAGGAGGAAGGCGGUGAGGUUAAUGACCUCAUCGAUUGACGUUACUCGCAGAAGAAGUACCGGCUAACUCCGUGCCAGCAGCCGCGGUAAUACGGAGGGUGCAAGUGUUAAUCGGAAUUACUGGGCGCAAAGCGCACGCAGGCGGUCUGUUAAGUCAGAUGUGAAAUCCCCGGGCUCAACCUGGGAAAUGCAUUUGAAACUGGCAGGCUUGAGUCUUGUAGAGGGGAGUAGAAUUCCAGGUGUAGCGGUGAAAUGCGUAGAGAUCUGGAGGAAUACCGGUGGAGAAGGCGGCCCCCUGGACAAAGACUGACGCUCAGGUGCGAAAGCGUGGGGAGCAAACA